rnacentral:rRNA from 1 species
CAGUAGCCGCGGUAAGACAGAGGGUGCAAACGUUGUUCGGAAUUACUGGGCGUAAAGCGAGUGUAGGCGGUUCUGUAAGUCGGAUGUGAAAGCCCCGGGCUCAACCCGGGAAGUGCACUCGAUACUGCAGAGCUAGAGUACUGGAGAGGUGGGUGGAAUUCUCGGUGUAGAGGUGAAAUUCGUAGAUAUCGAGAGGAACACCGGCGGCGAAGGCGACCCACUGGACAGGUACUGACGCUGAGACUCGAAAGCGUGGGGAGCAAACAGGAUUAGAUACCCGCGUAGUCCCUGUCUCUUAUAC